rnacentral:lncRNA from 1 species
UGAUGAUGCAUGCUAUUUUGGUGGUAAUUAAAUUCAUUAGAAUCAUCAAUUCUGCUUAAUUGGCAUUAAUAAAUAAUUAAUGCAAGUAGUGUUUAAUCGGUUACAAAAGGAUAAAAAUUAGUCCUCGGCCUGGCCUGGUGGGAAAUCAAAACUCUAGGAAUUAUUUGGGUUGUGUAAUGUAUCUAUCUUAUAUAUUCACCAUUUCUCUUGAUCCUUGAUCUUAUAUUCUGAGUAAUAUGUAUAUAAACUUUCACUUAUUACAAUAGUAAUUCUCCUCCCAUUAUGUCAUUAAUUUGAUUCCUAUAUAUACACAAUACUACAAAUUUUUUUCUUGAUUUGGUGAUACACUCAGUUCCCUUCCCAACUCUCUUUUAAUUAAAUCUUCGAUCUACUGUGUCC